AGCGGCGGACGGGUGAGUAACGCGUGGGUAACCUGCCUCAUACAGGGGGAUAACAGUUAGAAAUGACUGCUAAUACCGCAUAAGACCACAGCACCGCAUGGUGCGGGGGUAAAAACUCCGGUGGUAUGAGAUGGACCCGCGUCUGAUUAGCUAGUUGGUAAGGUAACGGCUUACCAAGGCGACGAUCAGUAGCCGACCUGAGGGGGUGACCGGCCACAUUGGGACUGAGACACGGCCCAA
rnacentral:rRNA from 1 species